rnacentral:rRNA from 1 species
GAUGAACGCUGGCGGCGUGCCUAAUACAUGCAAGUCGAGCGAACAGACGAGAGUGCUUGCACUCUCUGACGUUAGCGGCGGACGGGUGAGUAACACGUGGGUAACCUACCUAUAAGACUGGGAUAACUUCGGGAAACCGGAGCUAAUACCGGAUAAUAUUUAGCUUCGCAUGAAGCAAUAGUGAAAGACGGUUCUGCUGUCACUUAUAGAUGGACCCGCGGUGUAUUAGCUAGUUGGUGAGGUAACGGCUCACCAAGGCAACGAUACAUAGCCGACCUGAGAGGGUGGUCGGCCAGACGGGGACUGAGACACGGCCCAGACUCCGACGGGAGGCAGCAGUAGGGAAUCUUCCGCAAUGGACGAAAGUCUGACGGAGCAAUGCCGCGUGAGUGAAGAAGGUUUUCGGAUCGUAAAACUCUGUUGUAAGGGAAGAACAAGUACGUUAGUAACUGAACGUACCUUGACGGUACCUUACCAGAAAGCCACGGCUAACUACGUG